rnacentral:rRNA from 1 species
CGGACGGGUGAGUAAUGUCUGGGAAACUGCCCGAUGGAGGGGGAUAACUACUGGAAACGGUAGCUAAUACCGCAUAACGUCGCAAGACCAAAGAGGGGGACCUUAGGGCCUCUUGCCAUCGGAUGUGCCCAGAUGGGAUUAGCUAGUAGGUGGGGUAAUGGCUCACCUGGCGACGAUCCCUAGCUGGUCUGAGAGGAUGACCAGCCACACUGGAACUGAGACACGGUCCAG